GCCAAGCAUGGUGGUACUCAUCUGUAGUCCCAGCUACUUGGGAGACUGAGGCGAGAGGAUUGUUUGAGCCCAGGAGUUCUGGGCUGUAGUGAGCUGUGCUAAUUGGGUGUCAACAAUAAGGUUAGCAUCAAUAAGGUGUCCUCUUGGAGGAGGGGGACCACCAAGCUGCUCAAGGAGGCUGAACCCAUCUAUGUUGGAAAUAAAGCAGGUCAAAAUUCUGAGCUGAUAGUAGUAGUGGGAUCAAACUUGUGAAUGGCCACUCCAGUCCAGGCAAUGUAGUGAGACCCCCAUCCCU
rnacentral:SRP_RNA from 1 species